AUCAAACACAUGUGCUACGGGGUCGGUGUGCCUGAGAAGUGUGCGUGACUACCAAUCUCGCCUCUCUGCUCCGCCCUCCUCCUCCUCUUCCCUCCCGCUGGCAGUCGGUGAGAUGAGCUCCGCCCUCCCUUGAAAGAGAAAGCUCAUCGUUGGACGACAUGUGCAACAAGGGCCAGUUGACACCCCACACUGUAUACGCCAUGCCGGCGUCCCCCUCGCACGCAUGCCGGACCGGCCCCGGUGGCGUUGUAAUCCGUGCAUGCACGCAACCCACCUGCGCAUGGACUCGUCAUCCUGGAUUAAGACGCCUUCAUUCCGUUGCUCGCCGAGUUCGAUGUGAGAACCUGAUGCCCUUCAAUCAGGACGGCACCACAGAGGUGUCAUUGGGGGACUCCGAUGGCUCACGUUGCUGCACCCCAACGCAGCCAUCAUGCGAUUCUUGCGAAGCGAAGGAGAUCGCCCCGGUGCGUGCAUUACGCAGCUCAAAAAGACAGGACGCAGCAGGCGCCUGCAAGUGGCGCUUCGAAAAGCUUCCCUACCUGGCGGGAGGAAGAGAAGCCGAGUGAAGAGAGCCGCCACCUUCUCUUGGAACGAGUUGAAAGUGAUCGGGGAGUCCCCAGCCCCACAUCGCCCUCCACGAGCCCCGGACUCGAGCUCCAGCACACCGAAGACAACGUGAGGAUUCUCAUCAGUGUCUCCUCGGCGGCGUACAAGACGCUGGCCAACGAGGCUGUGUCGGCUCGGGAAUGCCGCUUCAUCUUGCUAGAGGUGCGAGCUGAGAUUGCCAUACGUGGAACUAAGUUUACGGACGCCACGGAGCCUCUGCCGCCGUGUAAAGCGAGCAUGCGCUGCUGCGGCUACUGUCAUGGCCGUUAGUCACGCGUGCAACACAGCCGAAGGUUGUGUUGGCGGAUGCUUGGGGGGGGAGUGUCGGGCAGCGCAUGCAAGGCAUUCGGGGGCACCACCACGUGGCGGCAGAUACGCAGCCUGUGGUCCCGCGUAGCCGCAUGGUCGCGAGUGUCAGCGGCCCUCCGCCGAAGGAGCACACACAGCAGUGUUGCUCGCUCAUGCUACUGAAGCGUCGGUGCAGGCAAGGCACACGUGCGCUGGCCACAUCAUCAGCAUCUUCAGGAGGCUUGGCAGCUUCAAGGCGGGCUCUCACGCUGAUGGACACAGCACUCAGAGCGGAUGGCAAACCAGCUCUCCUCCAACGGGCGAGGCCGGUGAAGCGAAAAAUGACGUGCUCCCGAUGUGCGGCAGCACAGAACCCCCCCCACCCCCGGUGCGUUGUUUGCUGCUGCUCGCGUGAAAAACGGCGAGUCGAUGGCACAGGAUCCAGCGUCUCGAAUCACGGAGCAUUCGCUACCUGGCCAGCGAUGCGAUCAACCUGUACUUUGGUCCCGAGACCAAGACCAGCAAAACCUACCCGUAUCCACGCUGACCUGUUGUGUGCGCGAUACGCGGAGACGGAUCGGAGAUGCUGGCGCAGUUUCUGGUGACCGCAAGAAGAGGACAGCAGCCGAAGGAGAACAUGCAUGUGCUCCUCACACCUCGAAUACGCGACAUCUUGCUCCCGCACACGUACCCGGCUCACAGCCUUCUUGGGUUUGACACUCCUCGCCAUGCUCCUUGCUCAAGGAGUGCUUGCGAUGUGCUUUCUUCGCGCUGCCACUCGAAGUCCCUCUCGGGCUCUCUUUCGACUCUUGCGAGCGCAUUGGAGGCAGGCCCGCCCCGGCCCACCUCUCCACCAGGCCAGACAGGAAAGCCCAAAGGAUGGACGGUCCAGCACUCUUGCGAGUAGCGGAACAAACAAGA
rnacentral:misc_RNA from 1 species